rnacentral:lncRNA from 1 species
ACAGUGGAAGGCAUAAAGAGUUGAAUUCAUUGGUGCUGACACAGUCUGCCUUUGCCAUCCUUUAAACGGCCAACAGACAUGAUACGUUCUAACAGUCUAUGAUCUUAGCCGGAGCUUCAGACCGUGUCUCUAGUCCCUCUAGAACGUUAACAAUCAUCAGGAUUUCUGAAUUCAAGACUGAAUUGGAGAGGCCAAACCUACUCCAUCUUGGGACCAGCCUCCAUCUUCAAGAAAAGAAAAAAGCAGAACUCAAGCUGCACCAAAAUACCAGAAAGGACCCCAUGGCUUGUCCUUGGCCAGAGUUAAUCCCUAGCUACUUCCUAGCAACAGUUAAUCAAAGAUUAGUUUGAUUGUUUCAGAUGUACUUUCAAACUGUUUGUGAUCAAAUGCACGAUUCAGGGCACCCAACUAUUGGCUUAUAGUCAUUCUAUUAGAUGCUUGCCAGACUGGACAACCCCUCCCUCGCUUUGAAAGAACCUAGUGGGGAAACCCCCACUCAAUUUCCAUUCGGAGCGCACCCAAGAAUCACGAACAGACAACCAUCUUGAUGUAAAAGCAUGAGGUAGUUUAAUGACGGAGCUCCGGGCCGACAUAUAUCUCCCUCAGGAGACAGAGGUGUCGACCACAUGGUGGAGCCAUAAUGGCAGAGCUCCGGUUCGAAACGUAUCUCACACAGGAGACAGUGGUUUCGACUCUGACGCUUGGAAGCUAGGGAUUUUUAUA